CGGGGAAUCUUGCGCAAUGGGCGAAAGCCUGACGCAGCAACGCCGCGUGAGCGAAGAAGGCCUUCGGGUUGUAAAGCUCUGUCAGGAGGGACGAAGCCACUCGGGUGAAUAGCCCAGAGGGUGACGGCACCUCCAGAGGAAGCCCCGGCUAACUACGUGCCAGCAGCCGCGGUAAUACAUAGGGGGCGAGCGUUGUCCGGAAUCAUUGGGCGUAAAGCGCGUGUAGGCGGCUUGGCAAGUCCGGUGUGAAAGCUCGAGGCUCAACCUCGAGUCUGCACUGGAAACUGCCUUGCUAGAGUCCGGAAGAGGAGACUGGAAUUCCUGGUGUAGCGGUGAAAUGCGCAGAUAUCAGGAAGAACACCGGUGGCGAAGGCGGGCCUCUGGGACGGUACUGACGCUGAGACGCGAAAGCGUGGGGAGCAAACAG
rnacentral:rRNA from 1 species